GCCUCACCACGACCGUCGGUCUACCGAGCAAAUAUCACCAGCUCGGUAGAAGAUCUUCCUUUCGUCGU
rnacentral:pre_miRNA from 1 species